GUGGGGAAUAUUGCACAAUGGGGGAAACCCUGAUGCAGCAACGCCGCGUGAGUGAUGACGGCCUUCGGGUUGUAAAGCUCUGUCUUCAGGGACGAUAAUGACGGUACCUGAGGAGGAAGCCACGGCUAACUACGUGCCAGCAGCCGCGGUAAUACGUAGGUGGCAAGCGUUGUCCGGAUUUACUGGGCGUAAAGGGAGCGUAGGCGGACUUUUAAGUGAGAUGUGAAAUACCCGGGCUUAACCUGGGUGCUGCAUUUCAAACUGGAAGUCUAGAGUGCAGGAGAGGAGAGUGGAAUUCCUAGUGUAGCGGUGAAAUGCGUAGAGAUUAGGAAGAACACCAGUGGCGAAGGCGACUCUCUGGACUGUAACUGACACUGAGGCUCGAAAGCGUGGGGAGCAAACAGGAUUAGAUACCCCGGUAGUCC
rnacentral:rRNA from 1 species